GUUUGAUCCUGGCUCACAACGAACGCUGGCGGCAUGCUUAACACAUGCAAGUCCAACGAAGUCUUCCGACUUAGUGGCGCACGGGUGAGUAACGCGUGGGAAUCUACCCUGAAGUGGGGAAUAACCACUGGAAACGGUGGCUAAUACCGCAUACGCCCUCCGGGGCAAAGGCUUCGGCCGCUUUAGGAUGAGCCCGCGUCCGAUUAGCUAGUUGGUGGGGUAAAAGCCUACCAAGGCAACGAUCGGUAGCUGGUCUGAGAGGAUGAUCAGCCACACUGGGACUGAGACACGGCCCAGACUCCUACGGGAGGCAGCAGUGGGGAAUAUUGGACAAUGGGGGAAACCCUGAUCCAGCAAUGCCGCGUGAGUGAAGAAGGCCCUAGGGUUGUAAAGCUCUUUCGGCGGGGAAGAUGAUGACGGUACCCGCAGAAGAAGCCCCGGCUAACUCCGUGCCAGCAGCCGCGGUAA
rnacentral:rRNA from 1 species